GGGAGAUCCACAGGGAGGAAGCAAUUUCUUUUCCUUCCAGAAAUAGUGCUGACUGAAUGUGAAGUCUGGAUUCACAUACUGGCUUUGUGACUGUGAGAGGAAGCUGAAGACAGAGAGGUGAUACAGAUUAAAUCACCACUUUGAACAUUGUCAAGACAACCACAUCAGGAAAAAGUUUGAAAACUUUGGAUUACUUGUGAAAGAAUUACCU
rnacentral:lncRNA from 1 species